rnacentral:miRNA from 1 species
UAAGUGCUUCUUUUUGGGGUG